CUUUCUUUGCUGGCGACCGGCGCACGGGUGAGUAACACGUAUCCAACCUGCCCUUUACUCGGGGAUAGCCUUUCGAAAGAAAGAUUAAUACCCGAUAGCAUAAUGAUUCCGCAUGGUUUCAUUAUUAAAGGAUUCCGGUAAAGGAUGGGGAUGCGUUCCAUUAGGUUGUUGGUGAGGUAACGGCCCACCAAGCCUUCGAUGGAUAGGGGUUCUGAGAGGAAGGUCCCACACAUUGGAACUGAGACACGGUCCAA
rnacentral:rRNA from 1 species